rnacentral:lncRNA from 1 species
AUGGGCUGCUCCCUGUGCUGCCCACUGGGCAGAGCUCUGGUGGGGACACCAAGAGCCAGGCAUCUUUGUUCUGUCCCGUGCCGAGCAUGUCCUGUUCCUUGCUGUGGAAUCCUGCAAUGGCUCCAGGCAGCAGGUGUGACAGGCGGGCCUGUAGCCAGGGACCGCGUGCCUGGAUACGCACUAGCAGUUCCGGGAAGCAGGGAGCUCUCCAGAACCUGGAUCAUCACCUCACCCACGGGGGCUCCAUGGUUAUUACACACACCCCAUGCCGUGCCUGACUCCAAUUCCAGGGGCCGAGCCUCUCGCCUCUCCACGCUCCUUUUACCCAUCCCCUGCCUCCCGUGUCCGCAGAGGAAGGAGAGUCACCCAAAGACACCACCGGCCGGGUAUCUGCCCCAAUGUCCCCGAUGUGCAUUUGGUGAUGUUCCUGGAGUGCGGGGCGCGAGUCCACCUGAGCUCCUCUGGCCUUGGCCUUUGCCUGUUGAUGGAGAAAGAAGUGAGGACAGCCCCGUGUCUCCAGUCACCAGCAGAUCCCUGCCAGCCUGUCCCGUGUUUCUGAAGCUCCAGGCAGAGCCACACGGUGUCGCCUUGUCCUGAUAAAUGACAGAAGUGAUUGUCAGUACAGAGCCGUCUGUGUCUCAUUUGGCCUCUGGUUUCACCUUCGUCUCGCGAUGACUCUCCCGCGUCUCUGUGCUGACUUCUCUCAUUUUCCUGCUGUUGGAACUUCCCCACCUCCCGGUGGUGUUUCUUCCCGGUAGACACUGCGGUGCUGUGUUCUGGCUUUGGCCAGUGGCACAGUCCUCUGCUCCGUCUUCUGUGCCUCCCCGCCGCCUGCUGUGUCUUUGCUCUGCUGCUCCGCGGUUCCCAAUCACCCUCAUCCUGGAUCUCUAGUGACAGGAAGGUGUUGGAAGCUUUGUCUUCUCCCAGUGGGGACGGUUCUGUAGGAUGUCUCCCCUCUCACAGUGGGGUUUCUGGCUCAAAGAAGGUGUGUCCAACUUUGAUAGCUGUGGUCAUAUUGUCGCUAAUUCUGAAAUUGGGAAUUGUUGAUUUUUCCUUAAUUUUUGCCAAUCGGACGGUUGGAAAUAGCCUUCCUUAUGGCUUUAAUAAGCCUUUCUCUGCUGCUGAGCUUAAGCACAUGUGCGUAUUUUUACCGGCCAUUUGAAUUUUCCUCCACUGGAUUCUUCUCUGUAGUCUUUGCGCGCUGCUAGCUUUGGGAGCCAGCCCAGCGUGUGGACCCCCAGCAGAGUCCUCGGCGGGAGACCUUGUCUUGCCUGUGACACCCCUCGUCAGAGCUGUGGGCGGGGGCAGGCCGAGAUGGCUCGGCCCUGCAGUGUGGCCCCUUGGCGCCCACACAGGAAGGGGGGUAACACAGCCUGUGCCAAGCGCUUGGAGAGUAUCGUCCCAGUGACAGAGAAAGCCCUCACUUCCUGCCAGGCCUGGAGCCCCUCCUUGUAUGUCUCCCAGAAGUUUCAGGAGGUGGCAUGUGGGUCUCACUCCCACUAGGGAGAUAGAUUUAUGGGGUUGCCCCUGUUCUCACUCACGAUGAGGUCCUGGGAGUGUCGGGCAGCUAGUGUUCUGACCUGCCCACCCUGCCGAG